rnacentral:rRNA from 1 species
GAUGAACGCUGGCGGCGUGCCUAAUACAUGCAAGUCGAGCGAACGGACGAGAAGCUUGCUUCUCUGAUGUUAGCGGCGGACGGGUGAGUAACACGUGGAUAACCUACCUAUAAGACUGGGAUAACUUCGGGACACCGGAGCUAAUACCGGAUAAUAUUUUGAACCGCAUGGUUCAAAAGUGAAAGACGGUCUUGCUGUCACUUAUAGAUGGAUCCGCGCUGCAUUAGCUAGUUGGUAAGGUAACGGCUUACCAAGGCAACGAUGCAUAGCCGACCUGAGAGGGUGAUAGGCCACCCUGGAGCGGAGACACGGUCCAGGCUACUACGGGAGGCAGCAGUAGGGAACCGUCCGCAAUGGGCGAAAGCCUGACGGAGCAACGCCGCGUGAGUGAUGAAGGUCUUCGGAUCGUAAAACUCUGUUAUGAGGGAAGAACAUAUGUGUAAGUAACUGUGCACAGCGUGACGGUACCUAAUCAGAAAGCCACGGCUAACUACGUG